rnacentral:ribozyme from 17 species
CACACCUGAAUGUAAUAGAGACAUAUUGUACAACAACAACAACAAAAACAACAGCCAGUGUUAGUUUUCAAUUUUUCAAUUUCUUUUUUCUCUUCUAUCCCUUUCAUCAUCAUAAUCAUCAU